GGAAGCCUAGGCAAAUAGGAAGGAAAUUGAAUUAAGAAGGUUUGUACGUUCUUCGGGAGACAUGACAGCGAAACACAGAGCUAAGACAGUCUAUGGAGCAGCUGGAGUGUCCAGCCUUCUUUCCGACAAAGACCUGAACCUCUCACAGCACGUCUGACUUCUAAAGUAUUUCCCGCUGUGCCCACCUAAGUACGAUACUUUAACAGCACUGUUUAGGACAGAAUCAUAAACACUGAAGUCCUGGAAUGCGUUCCGUCCAUCAGCAUCCCACAGUGACCAUUGCAUCACGUCCUUCUGAUCCGCUCGCUUAGCUAGACGAGUUUACACAAGGCCACAACCGACUAGAAGAGAAGCAGGCUCUACGUAGGUCUUAACGGAGAGUCCGCUGCUCCAGAGAAGUGGCUAAUUGCUCUAACAGCUGUUCAAUUCGAGAAUCUAAUCUACAGCCAAGAGUUCUGCUGAUCAAAAGAGAAACAUAUACACAGAGAAAGCAGUACAUACUCUAAAGGAAUAGCCUAAAGGGAAAACGUGGAAUCGGCUCUAAUACAUACCCAGAUUUCAGGUCUGUUAUCCUCAAACAGUUUGUAGCAUCCAACCCAACUUUUCCAUUCUUGACCACGCUGGAUAUGAACGGCGAAAGCAUUGGAGAAAUCCGAUUCAAGGCCACUUCGGGCGACAUUUCGGCUUCCUCGUGUUGGGCUGCUCUGCAAAUGGGAGCAAAGGAACUUUGAGCAAACACGGCACCCCCUCUGUUUUCUAUUAAAAUGUAUCUGGAUUCCUGCA